GGAAGGAGCAAAAGUACAUUUACCCUUUGGCCUUUUCUGGAGUUUUCUACUGGUAUGACUUUGAAGGAGUUCCAACUGAAAACUGGGGCUUGGGAAAAAUAAGAGGAUGCCCCUGUGCCAAACUAUGCUACCUUGGAACCGGCCAAGUACGGACUGAAACUUCUACAAAUUGUGAGCCAAAUAAACCUUAC